GACAUUUGGUAGAGACUGUUGAAGCCACCUGGUCCCAACAGACCCCAGAAGGCGGCCACAUUCGCUGGUGCUGGGGCAAGGUCAUAAAGGCUGAAGCCUAGUGCCAGAUGUGU
ensembl:rRNA 5S_rRNA 5S ribosomal RNA